rnacentral:rRNA from 1 species
AUGCAAGUCGAACGCAGUAGCAAUACUGAGUGGCAACGGGUGAGUAUAAUGUGGGAAUCUGCCUUUUGGUUUGGAAUAACACGGGGAAACUUGUGCUAAUACCGGAUAAGCCCUUACGGGGAAAGUUUUAACGCCGAAAGAUGAGCCUGCACUUGAUUAGCUAGUUGGUAAGGUAAAAGCUUACCAAGGCAACGAUCAAUAGCUGUUCUUAGAGGAAGACCAGCCACAUUGGGACUGAGACACGGCCCAGACUCCUACGGGAGGCAGCAGUGGGGAAUCUUGCACAAUGGGGGAAACCCUGAUGCAGCGAUGCCGCGUGAGUGAAGAAGGCCCUUGGGUUGUAAAACUCUUUCGUCGGGGAAGAAAAUGACUGUACCCGAAUAAGAAGGUCCGGCUAACUUCGUGCCAGCAGCCGCGGUAAUACGAAGGGACCUAGCGUAGUUCGGAAUUACUGGGCUUAAAGAGCUCGUAGGUGGUUAAAAAAGUUGAUGGUGAAAUCCCAAGGCUCAACCUUGGAACUGCCAUCAAAACUUUUUAGCUAGAGUGUGAUAGAGGUAAGUGGAAUUUCUAGUGUAGAGGUGAAAUUCGUACAUAUUAGAAAGAACACCAAAUGCGAAGGCAACUUACUGGGUCACUAC